rnacentral:rRNA from 1 species
GCAAGUCGAGCGAACAGAUAAGGAGCUUGCUCCUUUGACGUUAGCGGCGGACGGGUGAGUAACACGUGGGUAACCUACCUAUAAGACUGGGAUAACUUCGGGAAACCGGAGCUAAUACCGGAUAACAUUUGGAACCGCAUGGUUCUAAAGUGAAAGAUGGUUUUGCUAUCACUUAUAGAUGGACCCGCGCCGUAUUAGCUAGUUGGUAAGGUAACGGCUUACCAAGGCGACGAUACGUAGCCGACCUGAGAGGGUGAUCGGCCACACUGGAACUGAGACACGGUCCAGACUCCUACGGGAGGCAGCAGUAGGGAAUCUUCCGCAAUGGGCGAAAGCCUGACGGAGCAACGCCGCGUGAGUGAUGAAGGGUUUCGGCUCGUAAAACUCUGUUAUUAGGGAAGAACAAAUGUGUAAGUAACUGUGCACAUCUUGACGGUACCUAAUCAGAAAGCCACGGCUAACUACGUGCCAGCAGCCGCGGUAAUACGUAGGUGGCAAGCGUUAUCCGGAAUUAUUGGGCGUAAAGCGCGCGUAGGCGGUUUCUUAAGUCUGAUGUGAAAGCCCACGGCUCAACCGUGGAGGGUCAUUGGAAACUGGGAAACUUGAGUGCAGAAGAGGAAAGUGGAAUUCCAUGUGUAGCGGUGAAAUGCGCAGAGAUAUGGAGGAACACCAGUGGCGAAGGCGACUUUCUGGUCUGUAACUGACGCUGAUGUGCGAAAGCGUGGGGAUCAAACAGGAUUAGAUACCCUGGUAGUCCACGCCGUAAACGAUGAGUGCUAAGUGUUAGGGGGUUUCCGCCCCUUAGUGCUGCAGCUAACGCAUUAAGCACUCCGCCUGGGGAGUACGACCGCAAGGUUGAAACUCAAAGGAAUUGACGGGGACCCGCACAAGCGGUGGAGCAUGUGGUUUAAUUCGAAGCAACGCGAAGAACCUUACCAAAUCUUGACAUCCUUUGAAAACUCUAGAGAUAGAGCCUUCCCCUUCGGGGGACAAAGUGACAGGUGGUGCAUGGUUGUCGUCAGCUCGUGUCGUGAGAUGUUGGGUUAAGUCCCGCAACGAGCGCAACCCUUAAGCUUAGUUGCCAUCAUUAAGUUGGGCACUCUAGGUUGACUGCCGGUGACAAACCGGAGGAAGGUGGGGAUGACGUCAAAUCAUCAUGCCCCUUAUGAUUUGGGCUACACACGUGCUACAAUGGACAAUACAAAGGGCAGCUAAACCGCGAGGUCAUGCAAAUCCCAUAAAGUUGUUCUCAGUUCGGAUUGUAGUCUGCAACUCGACUACAUGAAGCUGGAAUCGCUAGUAAUCGUAGAUCAGCAUGCUACGGUGAAUACGUUCCCGGGUCUUGUACACACCGCCCGUCACACCACGAGAGUUUGUAACACCCGAAGCCGGUGGAGUAACCAUUUAUGGAGCUA